rnacentral:rRNA from 1 species
GUGAACGCUGGCGGCGUGCUUAACACAUGCAAGUCGAACGGAUAAAAUAAGCUUGCUUAUUUUGUUAGUGGCGCACGGGUGAGUAAUAUAUAGCUAACCUGCCCUUUAGUGGGGGACAACAGUUGGAAACGACUGCUAAUACCCCAUACUCCUUCUUGUCAUAAGUUAAAUCGGGAAAUGUCUUUUCGCUUCGAGAUCAGACUAUAUCCUAUCAGUUAGUUGGUGAGGUAAUGGCUCACCAAGGCAAUGACGGGUAGCGGUUCUGAGAGGAUGAUCCGCCACACUGGUACUGAGACACGGACCAGACUCCUACGGGAGGCAGCAGUGAGGAAUAUUGCACAAUGGGGGGAACCCUGAUGCAGCAACGCCGCGUGGAGGAUGACGCAUUUCGGUGUGUAAACUCCUUUUAUAUGUCAAGAAAAUGACGGUAGCAUAUGAAUAAGCACCGGCUAACUCCGU